rnacentral:rRNA from 1 species
CAUGCAAGUCGAGGGGCAGCAUGAUUGAAGCUUGCUUCAAUUGAUGGCGACCGGCGCACGGGUGAGUAACGCGUAUCCAACCUUCCGUACACUCAGGGAUAGCCUUUCGAAAGAAAGAUUAAUACCUGAUGGUAUGAUGAGAUUGCAUGAUAGCAUCAUUAAAGAUUUAUCGGUGUACGAUGGGGAUGCGUUCCAUUAGGUAGUAGGCGGGGUAAUGGCCCACCUAGCCGACGAUGGAUAGGGGUUCUGAGAGGAAGGUCCCCCACAUUGGAACUGAGACACGGUCCAAACUCCUACGGGAGGCAGCAGUGAGGAAUAUUGGUCAAUGGACGAGAGUCUGAACCAGCCAAGUAGCGUGAAGGAUGAAGGUCCUACGGAUUGUAAACUUCUUUUAUAAGGGAAUAAAACCUCCCACGUGUGGGAGCUUGUAUGUACCUUAUGAAUAAGCAUCGGCUAACUCCGUGCCAGCAGCCGCGGUAAUACGGAGGAUGCGAGCGUUAUCCGGAUUUAUUGGGUUUAAAGGGAGCGCAGACGGGUCGUUAAGUCAGCUGUGAAAGUUUGGGGCUCAACCUUAAAAUUGCAGUUGAUACUGGCGUCCUUGAGUGCGGUUGAGGUGUGCGGAAUUCGUGGUGUAGCGGUGAAAUGCUUAGAUAUCACGAAGAACUCCGAUUGCGAAGGCAGCACACUAAGCCGUAACUGACGUUCAUGCUCGAAAGUGUGGGUAUCAAACAGGAUUAGAUACCCUGGUAGUCCACACGGUAAACGAUGGAUACUCGCUGUUGGCGAUAUACAGUCAGCGGCUUAGCGAAAGCGUUAAGUAUCCCACCUGGGGAGUACGCCGGCAACGGUGAAACUCAAAGGAAUUGACGGGG